AAUGAACGUUGGCGGCGUGGAUUAGGCAUGCAAGUCGAGGGAGAACCCGCAAGGGGGACACCGGCGAACGGGGUAGGAUCAUCUCGGUGACGUACCCUCCGGACGGGGAUAGCCACGGGAAACUGUGGGUAAUACCCGAUGACCUGGCGAGCGAUUAGGGCUUGUCAGCAAAGGUGAGAUUCCACCGGAGGAGCGGCUGAGACGCUAUUAGCUUGUUGGUGAGGUAAUGGCUUACCAAGGCGACGAUGGCUAGGGGGUGUGAGAGCAUGGCCCCCACCACUGGCACUGAGACACUGGCCAGACACCUACGGGUGGCUGCAGUCGAGAAUCUUCGGCAAUGGGCGCAAGCCUGACCGAGCGACGCCGCGUGCGGGAUGAAGGUCUUCGGAUUGUAAACCGCUGUCGGAGGGGAUGAAGUGUAGGAGAGCAAUCUCUCUUAUUUGACAGAGCCUCGGAGGAAGCACGGGCUAAGUUCGUGCCAGCAGCCGCGGUAACAC
rnacentral:rRNA from 1 species